ensembl:piRNA 21ur-3846 ncRNA
UUAGUAUGUUCGUGGUGAAAG